rnacentral:misc_RNA from 1 species
AAGACUAUAGACCUGCGGAGUACCUGCGGAAGGAUCAUUAUUGAAUUUACACAAGAAAAAUUUUGCGCUUUCUCUUGGAAGAGAGAACAGUGCAUGAUUUUUCCCCAAACAAACGAUCACAACUAACAGAGAAAACUCUAAACUGGUUUGGAUACAAGUGUUUGCCUGAUAAUCAAGUGAUUUGGAUUGAAGAAAGAAAUACAACUUUUAGCAAUGGAUCUCUAGAUCGGAAGAGCACAC